GACGAACGCUGGCGGCGUGCCUACUACAUGCCAGUCGAACGCAGUCGCGCACGGGCGUGUAACGCGUAGGUAACUUCCUGGUAGCGGGGGAUGACUAUUGGCAACGAUCGCUAAUACCGACUACUACUAGAUGGACCUACGUUGUAUUAGCUUGUUGGUGGGGUAACGGCUCCCCAAGGAAACGAUACAUAGCCGACCUGGGAGGGUGAUCGGCCACACUGGGACUGGGACACGGCCCAGACUCCUACGGGAGGCAGCAGUAGGGAAACUUCGGAAAUGGACGGAAGUCUGACCGAGCAAAGCCGCGGGAGUGAAGAAGGUUUUCGGAUCGUAAAGCUCUGUUGUAAGAGAAGCGGUAUCUUACCAGAAAGGGACGGCUAACUACGUGCCAGCAGCCGCGGUAAUAC
rnacentral:rRNA from 1 species